CAGUUUUGGGGUUGUCUUCCUUGAGCUAAUAACAGGCCGCAAAGCAAUUGAUAAUACUCGGAGUCAUGGGGAGCAUAAUCUUGUUGCCUGGGCUCGACCACUUUUCAAGGAUCGGAGAAAGUUUCCAAAAAUGGCAGAUCCACUAUUGCAAGGUCGUUACCCAAUGCGAGGACUUUACCAAGCACUGGCUGUGGCAGCAAUGUGCUUGCAAGAACAAGCAUCUACUAGACCUUUAAUUGGGGAUGUUGUGACAGCUUUAACAUAUUUAGCCUCUCAAACUUAUGACCCUAAUGCAGUUGGUGCACAAAGUAACCGUGUUGGUUCAUCCACUCCAAGGAGCAGAGAGGAUAGACUGCACUCGGUGGAUGGAGUAGAUAGCCCUGAAUAUACCAGUGCUCACCAUGGUUCUCCUUCCAUCCAGAGGAAUUCUCCUGAUUCCAGGAAAAGAGAUUCCGCUAGGGAUUUCAAUACUGGGAUAGAGUUGAGGAAAAUUGCAACUAGUGGUGGAUCUGGUCGUAAAUGGGGUGUGGAUGAAUCAGAACGUCCUGAUUCUCAAAGGAACAGCCCUGUCAGUGCAGGUAGAACUAGAGAAACCCCAAGGAAUCGAGAUCUAGACAGGGAACGUGCAGUUGCUGAAGCAAAGGUAUGGGGCGAAAAUUGGAGAGAGAAAAAGAAGACAAAUGCAAGGGGUAGCAGUUUUGAUGGGAUAAAUGAUUGAUUUACGCAACAAUAUAUGUUGCAAGGAUUUCUAGGUAUAUAGGUGUUGAUCGUCAUGAUGCAAACACAACAUACUGCCAUUGCAUAAUCGUUGAGUUCUUGGUUUUCCAUUCUCAGCUUGAAAGUAAUAGUCCUGUCCUACUUUCUGUGUUUACUCAUUGAAGGUUAUUCACUGCUGUUCAAUGUAAACUUAGAUGUUUCAGGUGUUGUGGUCGAAGGAAACCACUGUUAAAAUGAAAGGGAAAUGAGGUUGAUGGUGCAAUGUGGGACUAGAGUUGGGG
rnacentral:misc_RNA from 1 species